GAUGUCUUGACAAAGGGCAUAUGAUGGCUGCUGCUUAUUACUGAGAACAAAAACCCACCUAGGUGCUACAGGGAAAGAAAGCAUGAUUCAGCCCACUUUGCCUGCCUCAUCCCCUGAGCCCAUUUCCAGGGCCAGAGAAACCAGACUGAAGCCAGAGAUCUCCAGGGGUUAUCUCCUGGAUCUGCCCCUGAAAUACACUUUAAAUUGACAGAUCUCGACAACUCUGUCACCUUUAGGAUUUAGAUGGAAGGGAGCGACUCAGUGUGUAAGCUGCCAUGUGUCCAUUGGUGGCUUCAGAUGAUGUGUGAACAGAGGCUUCCGCAAGCGUACAGUGUGUUCGUGGAAUAAAGUAAAGAACUUCAUGGGACAGUUCUGUUUUCCUGAGGCAUAAAACAGGUGUUACCUUAUGGUCCGCUUUCCUCUUGAGCUCAUUCUCCCCCUGUGAGGCCUUGUGGUGACAGGAACAAGAAGACUAAAUUGCAGGCUUCAGAAAGCUUAGUACAUUCUGCUUAACUUUCCAAAUUCACCAUAGUUUAGCAGUUUGAAAUCCUUACAAAUUCCUUUUGAGGCCUUUUCAUUUCCAGUGUUUGCCAUCCACCUUUUAAUUAAUUAAUAAUAACCUAUUAUUAAGCCAUGACAAGGACACGACAUGACAGGGUAAUUUAAUUGUUCACUGUGGUACUCCCGUCAGGCGCACUAUGAGGCAUCAGGCAUGAGGCCAAGUUUCACACAUGCUGCAACAACAUACAUUUAAGCAGACGGAAUGUAUCUUCUUUCCAUCCAUUUUAAAGGGACAUCGUCCAGUUUGAUUCCCAAACUUGACCUACCAGCAUUCUGCAAAAUCCAGGCAAUUCUUUACAUUUUCCCCCCUCAAAACAAACGCUUCGACUUCUAAACAAACAAACAAAAAAAUCAGAGUCUGCAGCUCCAAACUUACAAACAGCCAUACAAUAACAAACUGGUCUGCACACACAGUGAAGAAAAAUAUGUGUUUUAAGGACAUAGAUUUCAGCUACAACUUUCCAGACAGUUAUUACGAACAACAAAGCAACCAUCUGCAGCUUUAGAAAAUUAGUACUAUUAUGUCAAUGGUGUCCCUUAUCUCUGUCUUGCAUAAUGUUCCCACUUGGAUGCUGCCAAAGGGAAUCUCUCAAACAUGGGUUCAAUUGCUUGCUAACAUCUCCUUUAUCAAUUGACUCAAGGCCAUCAUUGCUCAUUUGCUC